UUAAAGGUGGCAGAGCCUGGUAAUUGCAGGAGACCUAAAGCCUCCUAAACGGGGGUUCAACUCCCCCCCUAAG
rnacentral:tRNA from 1 species